rnacentral:misc_RNA from 1 species
GAUGAAGAACGCAGCGAAAUGCGAUAAGUAAUGUGAAUUGCAGAAUUCAGUGAAUCAUCGAAUCUUUGUACGCACAUUGCGCCCGUUAGCAUUCUAGCGGGCAUGCCUGUCCGAGCGUCAUUUCAACCCUCAGGGUCCCCGUUCCGGCGGGGAACCUGGUGUUGGGGAUCGGCCCGCCCCGUGCGGCGCCGUCCCCCAAAUUCAGUGGCGGUCUCGCUGCAGCCUCCCCUGCGUAGUAGUUACAACCGCGCAUCGGAGCUCAGCGCGGCCACGCCGUAAAACCCCCGACUUUCUGAACGUUGACCUCGGAUCAGGUAGGAAUACCCGCUGAACUUAAGCAUAUCAAUAAGCGGAGGA